rnacentral:rRNA from 1 species
GAUGAACGCUGGCGGCGUGCCUAAUACAUGCAAGUCGAGCGAACGGACCCGAAGCUUGCUUCUCUGAUGUUAGCGGCGGACGGGUGAGUAACACGUGGAUAACCUACCUAUCAGACUGGGAUAACUUCGGGAAACCGUAGCUAAUACCGGAUAAUAUUUUGAACCGCAUGGUUCAAAAGUGAAAGACGGCCUUGCUUCCACUUAUAGAUGGACCCCCGCUGCCUUAGCUAGUUGGUAAGGUAACGGCUUACCAAGGCCACGAUGCAUAACCGACCUGGGGGGGGGAUCGGCCACUUGGGAAUGGAGAACCGCUCCAGAUCCUAACGGGAGGCAGCAGUAGGAAUCUUUCCGCAAGGGCGGAAAGCCUGACGGAGCAAGGCGGCUGGGUGGAGGAAGUUUUUCGGUUCUAAAACUCUUGUGAUAAGGAAAGAAAAGAGGUGGAAGUAACGUUGCACAUUUUGCCGGUACCUAAUCAGAAAGCCCCGCCAACCUACUG